rnacentral:rRNA from 1 species
GUGGGGAAUAUUGGACAAUGGGCGCAAGCCUGAUCCAGCCAUGCCGCGUGAGUGAUGAAGGCCUUAGGGUUGUAAAGCUCUUUUGUCCGGGAAGAUAAUGACUGUACCGGAAGAAUAAGCCCCGGCUAACUUCGUGCCAGCAGCCGCGGUAAUACGAAGGGGGCUAGCGUUGUUCGGAAUCACUGGGCGUAAAGCGCACGUAGGCGGACCAUUAAGUCAGGGGUGAAAGCCUGGAGCUCAACUCCAGAACUGCCUUUGAGACUGAUGGUCUCGAGUAUGGAAGAGGUUGGUGGAACUGCGAGUGUAGAGGUGAAAUUCGUAGAUAUUCGCAAGAACACCGGUGGCGAAGGCGGCCAACUGGUCCAUUACUGACGCUGAGGUGCGAAAGCGUGGGGAGCAAACAGGAUUAGAAACCCUAGUAGUCC